UACGUAGGGGGCGAGCGUUGUCCGGAUUUAUUGGGCGUAAAGAGCGUGUAGGCGGCCAGGUAGGUCCGUUGUGAAAACUCGAGGCUCAACCUCGAGACGUCGAUGGAAACCAUCUGGCUAGAGUCCGGAAGAGGAGAGUGGAAUUCCUGGUGUAGCGGUGAAGUGCGCAGAUAUCAGGAAGAACACCUAUGGCGAAGGCAGCUCUCUGGGACGGUACUGACGCUGAGACGCGAAAGCGUGGGGAGCGAACAGG
rnacentral:rRNA from 1 species